CCCGCUGAACUGAAACAUCUAAGUAGGCGGAGGAAGAGAAAGAAACAUCGAUUUCCUGAGUAGUGGCGAGCGAAAGGGAAAGAGCCCAAACCUAGAUUGUUACGGCAAUUUAGGGGUUGUAGGACUGCAGAACUCAAUACAAACGAACAAGAAUUACCUGGAAAGGUAAACCAUAGAGGGUGAAAGUCUCGUAUUGGUAAGUUAUGUAAGCGGUAGCAGUAUCCUGAGUAUGGCGGGACACGAGGAAUCCUGUCAGAAUCUGCGGGGACCACCCCGUAAGGCUAAAUACUCCCAGAAGACCGAUAGUGGACCAGUACCGUGAGGGAAAGGUGAAAAGUACUCCGAACAGGAGAGUGAAAAAGACCCUGAAACCGUACGCUUACAACCGGUCGGAGCGGCUUCGUGCCGUGACGGCGUGCCUUUUGCAUAAUGAGCCUACGAGUUACUAAUCACUAGCGAGGUUAAGGGCUUAUAAGUCCGGAGCCGAAGCGAAAGCGAGUCUGAAUAGGGCGUAUAGUUAGUGGUUGUAGACGCGAAACCUUGCGAUCUACCCAUGAGCAGGAUGAAGGUUGGGUAAUACCAACUGGAGGUCCGCACCAGUAAACGUUGAAAAGUUUUUGGAUGACUUGUGGGUAGGGGUGAAAGGCUAAUCAAGCUGGGAAAUAGCUCGUACUCCCCGAAAUGCCUUUUGGGGCAGCGUUGUAAUAAAGAGUCUACUGGAGGUAGAGCUACUGAUUGGAUGCGGGGGCUUCACCGCCUACCAAAUCCUGACAAACUCCGAAUGCCAGUAGUAUGAUUUUCAGCAGUGAGCCGUCGGGUGCUAAUGUCCGGCGACAAAAGAGGAACAACUCAGACCAUCAGCUAAGGCCCCCAAACAUACACUAAGUUGAACUAACGAUGUGCGACUGCAGCGACAGCUAGGAUGUUAGCUUGGAAGCAGCUAUUCAUUUAAAGAGUGCGUAACAGCUCACUAGUCGAGCGGUUGUGCGUGGAUAAUAAACGGGCAUCAAGUGUAUUGCCGAAGCUAUGGGAUCGAAAGAUCGGUAGGGGAGCAUUCCAUCGACGUUGAAGUUGGGUCGUAAGGCCUGGUGGAGUUUAUGGAAAAGCAAAUGUAGGCAUAAGUAACGAUAAGGCGGGAGAGUAACCCGCCCACCGCAAGACCAAGGUUUCCUGAUCAACGUUAAUCGGAUCAGGGUUAGUCGGGACCUAAGGGUAAGCCGAAAGGUGAUCUCGAUGGACAAUCGGUUAAUAUUCCGAUACUAGCAUAUACUGCGAUGGAGGGACGGAGAAGCGUAAGCUACGCGAACUGACGGAAUAGUUCGUUAAAGAGUUUAGGUAUAUUUAGACGUUAAUAGCGUUUAGAUGCUGAAACUUGACAGUACCAAGCGGCUACGGCCAAUUGGAUAGUUAGCCCAAGCAGACUUCCGAGAAAAACUUCUAAGCUUCAGGUAUAUGGUACCCGUACUGUAAACCGACACAGGUGGUCGAGGAGAGUAUCCUCAGGUGCUUGAGUGAAUCACGGAUAAGGAACUAGGCAAAUUAACCCCGUAACUUCGGAAUAAGGGGUCCCCACGUGAGUGGGGCGCAGCGAAGAGGUCCAGGCAACUGUUUACCAAAAACACAGGGCUCUGCUAAUUCGAAAGAAGACGUAUAGGGCCUGACACCUGCCCGGUGCUGGAAGGUUAAGAGGGGAUGUCAUCGCAAGAGAAGCAUUGAAUCGAAGCCCCAGUAAACGGCGGCCGUAACUAUAACGGUCCUAAGGUAGCGAAAUUCCUUGUCGGGUAAGUUCCGACCUGCACGAAUGGUGUAAUGAUCUGGACACUGUCUCGUCCGUGAGCUCAGUGAAAUUGUAGUCCCGGUGAAGAUGCCGGGUACCCGCAACGGGACGAAAAGACCCCGUGAACCUUUACUAUAGCUUAACGCUGAAUUUGGGUACAUGAUGUGUAGGAUAGGCAGGAGACUAUGAGUCGGUGCCGCCAGGUAUCGAGGAGUCGACGUUGAAAUACUGCCCUUUAUGUAUUUGAAUUCUAACCCCUAUCGGGGGACACCGUUUGGUGGGUAGUUUGACUGGGGUGGUCGCCUCCAAAAGAGUAACGGAGGCUUCCCAAGGUGCCCUCAGUACGAUUGGUAACCGUACGAAGAGUGCAAUAGCAUAAGGGCGCUUGACUGUGAGACCAACAAGUCGACCAGGUGCGAAAGCAGGGUAUAGUGAUCCGGUGGUUCUGCGUGGACUGGCCAUCGCUCAAAGGAUAAAAGGUACUCCGGGGAUAACAGGCUGAUCGCCGCCAAGAGCUCAUAUCGACGCGGCGGUUUGGCACCUCGAUGUCGGCUCGUCACAUCCUGGGGCUGGAGAAGGUCCCAAGGGUUCGGCUGUUCGCCGAUUAAAGUGGCACGCGAGCUGGGUUCAGAACGUCGUGAGACAGUUCGGUCUCUAUCUGUUGCGGGCGUAGGAAGUUUGAGGGGUCCUGACCUUAGUACGAGAGGACCGGGUUGGACGAACCUCUGGUGUAUCAGUUGUGCCGCCAGGUGCAUUGCUGAGUAGCCAUGUUCGGACUGGAUAAGUGCUGAAAGCAUCUAAGCACGAAGCCUUCCCCAAGAUGAGACUUCCCUUGA
rnacentral:rRNA from 1 species